CCAAAAACAUGGCUUCGUGUCCUCUGUAAAUACGAAGUCGGACCUGCCCAGUGAGUUUUAAACGGCCGCGGUACUCUUGACCGUGCAAAGGUAGCAUAAUCAUUUGCCUUAUAAUUGAAGGCUGGAAUGAAUGGUUUGACAAGAAUACACCUGUCUCUUCAUGAUUACUUAGAAUUUUAUUUCUAGAUGAAAAAGUCUAGAUAUUAUUAAAAGACAAGAAGACCCUAUCGAGCUUGAGAAAAAUUAACAGACAUAUUAGAACUCAAUAUUAGUAAAAGAAAAGCUGUUAAACACUUUGGUUGGGGCAACCUGGGAGUAAGCAAAGCCUCCUAAUUAUAACAAGUCGGACCUGUGUUGAUCCAGUUGUAUUGAUCAAAGGAAUUAGUUACCGUAGGGAUAACAGCAUUAUCUUUUUCAAGAGCCCAUAUCGAAAAAAAGGUUUGUGACCUCGAUGUUGGACCAGAAUGUCCUAAAGAUGCAGAAGUCUUUAAGGGUUGGUCUGUUCGACCAUUAAA
rnacentral:rRNA from 1 species